rnacentral:rRNA from 1 species
CCCGACUGCUAUCAGAGUAGGACUAAGCCAUGCGAGUCGACGUAGCAAUGCGUGGCGAACGGCUCAGUAACACGUAGUCAACAUGCCCAGGGGACGUGGAUAACCUCGGGAAACUGAGAAUAAACCAUGAUAGGUCAUGAUUUCUGGAAUGGAUCAUGGCUCAAAUCUACAUGGCCCCUGGAUUGGACUGCGGCCGAUCAGGCAGUUGGUGAGGUAAAGGCCCACCAAACCUAUAACCGGUACGGGCUCUGAGAGGAGAAGCCCGGAGAUGGGCACUGAGACAAGGGCCCAGGCCCUAUGGGGCGCAGCAGGCGCGAAACCUCUGCAAUAGGCGAAAGCCUGACAGGGUUACUCUGAGUGAUUUCCGCUAAGGGGAUCUUUUGGCACCUCUAAAAAUGGUGCAGAAUAAGGGGUGGGCAAGUCUGGUGUCAGCCGCCGCGGUAAUACCAGCACCCCGAGUGGUCGGGACGAUUAUUGGGCCUAAAGCAUCCGUAGCCGGUUCUGCAAGUCUUCCGUUAAAUCCAGCCGCUCAACGGAUGGGCCGCGGAGGAUACUACAGGACUAGGAGGCGGGAGAGGCAAGCGGUACUCAGUGGGUAGGGGUAAAAUCCUUUGAUCCAUUGAAGACCACCAGUGGCGAAGGCGGCUUGCCAGAACGCGCUCGACGGUGAGGGAUGAAAGCUGGGGGAGCAAACCGGAUUAGAUACCCGGGUAGUCCCAGCUGUAAACGAUGCAGACUCGGUGAUGGGCUAGCCUUGUGCCAGCCCAGUGCCGCAGGGAAGCCGUUAAGUCUGCCGCCUGGGGAGUACGGUCGCAAGACU